rfam:Fomitopsis pinicola FP-58527 SS1 unplaced genomic scaffold FOMPIscaffold_25, whole genome shotgun sequence.
ACACUGAUGGUGAAACGGUAUCAUGCUUGCCUUCCAUCAUCGUCUGAAGCAAGCGGCGCGGGUUCGACUCCCGCUCAGUGUA